rnacentral:rRNA from 1 species
GAUGAACGCUGGCGGCGUGCCUAAUACAUGCAAGUCGAGCGAACAGACGAGGAGCUUGCUCCUCUGACGUUAGCGGCGGACGGGUGAGUAACACGUGGGUAACCUACCUAUAAGACGGGGAUAACUUCGGGAAACCGGAGCUAAUACCGGAUAAUAUAUGAAAACGCAUGGUUCAAUAGUGAAAGACGGUUUUGCUGUCACUUAUAGAUGGAUCCGCGCCGCAUUAGCUAGUUGGUAAGGUAACGGCUUACCAAGGCGACGAUGCGUAGCCGACCUGAGAGGGUGAUCGGCCACACUGGAACUGAGACACGGUCCAGACUCCUACGGGAGGCAGCAGUAGGGAAUCUUCCGCAAUGGGCGAAAGCCUGACGGAGCAACGCCGCGUGAGUGAUGAAGGUCUUCGGAUCGUAAAACUCUGUUAUUAGGGAAGAACAAAUGUGUAAGUAACUAUGCACGUCUUGACGGUACCUAAUCAGAAAGCCACGGCUAACUACGUG